rnacentral:rRNA from 1 species
GACAGAGGGUGCAAACGUUGUUCGGAAUCACUGGGCGUAAAGCGCGUGUAGGCUGCUGCGCAAGUCGGAUGUGAAAUCCCACGGCUCAACCAUGGAAGUGCAUUCGAAACUGCGUAGCUAGAGUUUUGGAGAGGAAGGCGGAAUACUCGGUGUAGAGGUGAAAUUCGUAGAUAUCGAGUGGAACACCGGUGGCGAAGGCGGCCUUCUGGACAGUGACUGACGCUGAGACGCGAAAGCGUGGGGAGCAAACAGG